ACACUCUGGAGAGUCCCAUUCAAUUGGGCGCCGAAGGUGCACGGACGCAGGUCCUAAUCUCUCAGGCAAAAGGACAGAGAA
rnacentral:ncRNA from 1 species